rnacentral:rRNA from 1 species
UACGUAGGGCGCAAGCGUUGUCCGGAAUCAUUGGGCGUAAAGAGCUCGUAGGCGGUCUGUUACGUCUGCUGUGAAAUCCUAGGGCUUAACCCUGGGCCUGCAGUGGAUACGGGCGGACUAGAGGUAGGUAGGGGAGAAUGGAAUUCCCGGUGUAGCGGUGAAAUGCGCAGAUAUCGGGAGGAACACCGGUGGCGAAGGCGGUUCUCUGGGCCUUUCCUGACACUGAGGAGCGAAAGCGUGGGGAGCGAACAGG